GGCGCGGCCCGACCGCCCAGCCCGCCAGGCGUCGCUCCCAGCGCCGGCGCGCUUGUGUCCGCGCGGAGCCUUGGGAGCCCUGUGUUUCCUGAGGUGUUUUUACCUCAGACGUGCGAGGUGACGUCAGGAUCUGCUGAAGGCUGAGAUCGUCCCUGUGCCUCCUUUGUGGGCCCGUCACCUCAUUUGCGUGCGCAGUUGCGGACGAUUCGUAAAUGUGUGUGUGUGGAAUGCGGGAAAAACAGAAAAAACAAAUCCCUAAAGUGCCUGGAAGAUACAUGGGGUCAGGCUCAUGCAACUUUGCAAAAGGAAGAGGAGAGGUGGAUCCAGUGCUGGCCCAGCUGAGUAGGAGGGCGGUAGCUGUGCAUGUGAUCUCCAGAUUCUCGAAUUUGGUGAUAUGCCCCUGGGGAGAGCAUGUAGGUGGACAUCCUUGUGUCCGUCUGUGUCCUCUUUGUGAUGUUCUUCAUCCCGGUCAGCUUUGUCAUCUUCCUGAUCCAGGAGCAGGCCAGUAAAAUGAAGCACCUGCAGUUCAUCAGUGGAGUGAAGCCCGUCAUCUACUGGCUCACCAAUUUUGUCUGGGACAUGGGGAAAACUAUUUCAACGGUGAAAAUGACGCAGGAAUCAGAAGCAUAUUCUGCUGAGACUCAAGGAAGUUAACACUUUCCCGAACUGGAAAAGACAUUUCAUAAGAAGGCAUAUGAAGUUAUUGACUGAAUCAAAUUUGUUCUAAGAA